GGCCGCGGGAUUAGAGUUUGAUCUGGCUCAGAGCGAACGCUGGCGGCGUGCUUAACACAUGCAAGUCGAACGCGCAGUUUUCUGUAGCAAUACAGGAAGCGGUCGCGUGGCGAACGGGUGCGUAACACGUGGAUAACCUUCCUUCAGGUGGGGAAUAACCCCGCGAAAGCGGGGCUAAUACCGCAUAACAUGACGAUGGCACAUGCCGUUGUCUUCAAAGCCGCAAGGCGCCAGAAGAGGGAUCCGCCGCCGAUUAGCUUGUUGGCGAGGUAAUGGCUCACCAAGGCAUUGAUCGGUAGCCGGACUGAGAGGUCGGUCGGCCACACUGGAACUGAGACACGGUCCAGACUCCUACGGGAGGCAGCAGUGGGGAAUCUUGCGCAAUGGGCGAAAGCCUGACGCAGCAACGCCGCGUGGGGGAUGAAGCUUCUCGGAGUGUAAACCCCUUUCGACCCGGACGAAUGCCCGCAAGGGUUUGACGGUACGGGUAUAAGAAGCCCCGGCUAACUACGUGCCAGCAGCCGCGGUAAAACGUAGGGGGCCAGCGUUGCUCGGAAUUACUGGGCGUAAAGGGUCCGUAGGCGGUGUAGCAAGUCGGAAGUGAAAUCUUUGGGCUUAACCCAGAGUCUGCUCCCGAAACUGCUAUGCUAGAGUGCGAGAGAGGCGAGUGGAAUUGCGGGUGUAGCGGUGAAAUGCGUAGAUAUCCGCAGGAACAUCCGAGGCGAAAGCGGCUCGCUGGAUCGCAACUGACGCUGAGGGACGAAAGCUAGGGGAGCAAACAGGAUUAGAUACCCUGGUAGUCCUAGCCCUAAACCAUCAGGACUUGGGGUUUGCCCUGUACGGGGCAAGUCCCGUA
rnacentral:rRNA from 1 species